GGAGUCUUUUAGCCUUUAUUGAACACUUGUUUCUCUCCAAAUCCCAGGAUCCUUCAGUCCAUCCUCAGGAUAUCACUGUGGGACCAGCGUUUUCAGGGGGAUUAAAAGGUUGGAGGACCUAGAUCUGUGUCUGUUGUCAUGCGCAUAUGCUUUUUUCUAUGUGUGUGAUCAUGUUUAAGAGCUGGAGAUGGCUUCUCUAUGUGCAUUUUCAUGUCUGUGUAUGCUUGUACUUCUGGCCAUUCACAACAGGGCUUUGGAGUAGCACACCCUUGUGUGGAGCUCAGGUCUAGCUGAGGUGGCACCAGGGCCCGUGCUUCACCAGAGUCUGUAUAACUGAAAGCCUGAGGUCCCCGGCAUCCCGAUGUGGGUCUGCCUGCCUCUGGGGCUCCGUUAUAUGCCUGGCACAUUCGAUUCUUGGGCCAAAUAUGUCUGGCAGGGUCAGGCCUCAUUGGGUAGGAGCUCAUCAGCUCAGGGUCUUUUUUCUCUUCUUUGUGGGAGGACUUCAUUCUCCAGAAGGGCAUCUUCAACCUCUGAUGGGGGGCGGCCCAUGAUCUGCAGCAGAGGGCCUUCAAUCUUGGGCAGGAAAGGCUGGCUGUUCUUGGACCCUAGAAUGCGUCCAAAGCAAAAGCUCAGGAUGUUCUGGAUACUGCUGUCCAUUUCCCAGGGGCUAGGGGCCCACACUCAUGGAUGGGCACAAAGAUGGACCUGAUCAGAGGGAUGGCGCCCCUCCCAGGGAAGAGGAAGGAAAUUCUUUUUUUGCAGUGAAGCUCUUGGACAAAGAGGU
rnacentral:lncRNA from 1 species